GCCUCUCUGCGGAGGACGGAAGGUGGAGCUUUACGGUAGCUCUUUGCUCUAUUGAUUGAUGCCUCUUUUCAGGUUUUGUCGUAUACUCCUACACAGUAAGUCACAGAGAGAGAGAGAGAGGCAGAGACACAGGCAGAGGGAGAAGCAGGCUCCAUGCACCGGGAGCCCGACGUGGGAUUCGAUCCCGGGUCUCCAGGAUCGCGCCCUGGGCCAAAGGCAGGCGCCAAACCGCUGCGCCACCCAGGGAUCCCCACAAACCGAUAUUCUUCAUCUUGAUAUCCAGCUUUGCCGACAUCAUUUAUUAAAUACUAUUCUCCAUUGUUUUGUUACUAGUGACUUGUUACCUGACCUCUUUCAGCUUCUUCACUUGUAAGAUUACUAACAGUACUUACCCCAUAGGGAUAAUGAGGAUAAACCUGAAACUAGUAUAAAGUAAUUGCUUAAUGCAUGCUAAUUUACUUAAACUUGUCUUUUUUUUUUUUUUUGCAAAGGUACUUAACUAGUUUGCUUUAAAUUCAGUUACAAACCAUUGUAUAAGUAUUGCUAUAUCAUGUGCCUUUACAUCUAAGUGAUGUAUGUACAAUGAAAGUAUUGCCAUUUGGUCAUUUUACUUUUCUGACUUAUUACAAUGUGCCCAGGAGCCCCAAGAUCAAGUUUAAGUUUAAGUUCCAGGACCUCAUUUUAGGCCUAAGUAUCAGCCUACCUGCUUUACAGAAGGGCAUUAGUUGGUGUUCUCCUCUUUAAAGCUUCCUUAUUCACUGUAUGCUAAAGACUCUUUUUCCUCCAUGAGAAGCACCAAAGUGGUUUUUACUUGUUGCCCUCAAAAUCAAGAUUCUGCCUUAGUACCUCCAGAAAACAAGCACCCUGAUUUCAAUUAUUAAACAAGCAAAACCUGAUAAUCACUUAGAAAAAUAUAGAAUGAAAAAAACUUUUAAAAAAUAUUCACCCAUCUCUGUGAAGAUGGUCAAUAAGCCAAUUACACUCUGUUCUGUUCUUUCAGCCUCCUUUAGUUAUGGUAAGGGGAACAUAAACUUUAAGGAAGCACAGGUAUGAUGCCAUCAAGUUAAAAAAAAAAAAAGUACACACACCCAUGAAGUAUUCUUGCUACAGUAUUUUAAUCUUAAUCUACCAAGCCUUUGGGUUUACCUUUUAGUUUAUAGGAAAUAGGUAUGGCAGGCACAUUCUAAGAAGGCUCCCAGUGAUCUCUUUUCUGAUACAGCCUGUGUAAUCCACUCUCCUUGAGUAACUUGCUUCCAGCCUUGAUGUUGAGAGGGUGGCAUAUUUGUAGUUUGUAAAUGUAAAUGUUAUGACUUUGAUUUUGCUAGCAGACUCUCCCUUGGUGGUUUUAAUGAAACCACUUGACAUGAUGGAGAAGCCCAUAAAACAUAAAACUGAGGGCAGGGGAGCCUGGGUAGGUCAGUUGGUUAAGUGACUCUUGAUUUCAGUUCAGGUCGAGCCUCAUGCAGGCAUGGAACCUACAUAAGAUUCUCUUUCUCUCUCUUCUUCUGCCCCUCCCCCACCUCCUUCUCUGAAAAAAAAAAAAGGAAAACAUUCAUUUAAAAACUUUUAUUUAUUUCAGAGAGAGAGAGAGAGAGAGAGAGAGAGCAGCACAAAUAAAGGAAAGGGUGGAGGGCCUGUUGAGCAAGGAGCCCAAUGCAGGGCCCAAGCCCAGAACCCUGGGAUCAUGACCUGAGCUAAAGGCAGACUGAGCUACCCAGGCACCCCUGGAAAACAUUCUUAAAAAGACAAAACACCCAAAAAGCUGAGGACAGCCUUUGGCCAACAGCCAGCUAGGAUUUUAAGUCCUCAAUCCAACACCUGGAAAAGAACUGAACACUAACCAUGUAAAUGAGCUCGAAAAUGCUUCCUUCUCCAAUCAAGCCCUCAGAUGAGUCCUCAGCCAUGGCUGAUACUCUUCAUAGCAGCCUCAUGUGAAACAAAGAUACAGAGGAUCCUGCUAAGCUGGGCCAGGAUUCUUCAUUUGCAAAAAAUUUAGAUAGUAAAUGUGUGCUGUUCUAAGCCACUUUAGUUUUGGGGUAAUUUAUUAAGCAGCAAUAGGUAAUUAAUACAGAAGAGUUACAGAAAUGUUUUACAAAUAUAAAAUUGGGGUGCCUUGCAUUCUGCAAUGCAGAGAUGCUUCAAAGUCAAUGACACUAAAAAAUAAAAAUAGAACUGUUCUAGAGUAAGAGACUGAAGAAACAUAUAAUCAAAUAAAUAUAAUACAUAAACCUUGAUUAUUUAUAUUAGAUCCUUUAAAUAAAGUGAUAAUAGUUACUAUGAAACAAGGAAAUUUGAGUUUGGAAUACAUAUUAGAUACUAUGAAAUUACUGACUGGUAAUACAGCGAUAUGGUUAUAAAGAACAUUCUUUAAAAUGUCCUUAUUCUUAGAAGAUACAUAUUUAAGUAUUUAGUUGAUAAAGGUGAUAUCUGUAAUCUCAAGAGUAGAGAUAAAACCAAUAUGGCAAAAUGUUAACAACUGUAGAACUUGGUUGGCAAGUUCACGAGUGUUCACUGUACUCUUUGAACUUUGAUGUAUGAACAUUUUCAUUAAAAAUUUUAAGAAAAACA